ensembl:lncRNA
CAAUUGUCCAUAUCCCAGCAUGAGCAGGACCAGAAGGUGAACCUGAAUGCUCACAGGCAAACUUGGGUGCUCUCGAUGCAUCAGGAUCCUGCAUUGGUGGCGUCAGCUCACCACUUCUCAGGUCCUCAGGGCACUUCCAUCAGGGGAGAAAUAAUCUCGGUCCUCCUCCUUCAGUAUGGAAGGAAACUGAACAAAAGAGUUAACUUUAUAUUGGCAAGUGCAGAUUCGCUAUAAACAGCAUGGGCGGUACCUAUGAAGAACUCAUACUCGGGAGGGAGAGGAAGACUGACUACUGUUCUAAUGCACUUUGUUACCCUGAGUUCGAAACACAAGGACUGGUCGUGGAUCUGUCUUUGCUGCAAUGACCUGGGGAAAAUGGAUCAUAUCCGUGCUUAUAGUUUGCAAAUAACACAUUUACAAGCACUUCAUUUAUUGGAAGCAGGCUUUGAUAUUGGGGUACUCUAG